rnacentral:rRNA from 1 species
GGGGGUGCGUCGAAAGAGAGCCUGAACACAGGUGCUGCAUGGCUGUCGUCAGCUCGUGUCGUGAGAUGUUGGGUUAAGUCCCGCAACGAGCGCAACCCUCAUUGUUAGUUACUACCAUUCAGUUGAGGACUCUAAUGAGACUGCCAACGACAAGUUGGAGGAAGGUGGGGAUGACGUCAAAUCAUCAUGCCCUUUAUGACCUGGGCUACAAACGUACUACAAUGGCCAAUACAAAGAGAUGCGAAGCGGUGACGUGGAGCGAACCUCAGAAAGUUGGUCUCAGUUCAGAUUGAAGUCUGCAACUCGACUUCAUGAAGGCGGAAUCGCUAGUAAUCGCGGGUCAGCAGACCGCGGUGAAUACGUUCCCGGGUUU